UGAGAGACACAUGGCCAUAAUUGGAGAGACUGGACACUGUGAACUCCUGACUUGACAUGAACAAUAGGUAAAGUUAAUAAAAAAGUGUGAAAAAGUUAAGACUGCAAUACAUCAGGGGCCUGGGUAGCUCAGCGAGUACUGACGCUGACUACCACCCCUGGAGUCGUGAGUUCGAAUCCAGGGUGUGCUGAGUGACUCCAGCCAGGUCUCCUAAGCAAUGAAAUUGGCCCGGUUGCUAGACAGGUUAGAGUCACAUGGGGUAACCUCCUUGUGGUCGUGAUUAGUGGUUCUCGCUCUCAAUGGGGCGCUUGGCAAGAUGUGCAUGGAUCGCAGAGAGUAGCAUGAGUCUCCACAUGCUGUGAGUCUCCGCGGUGUCAUGCACAACGAGCCACGUGAUAAGAUAGGCAGAUUGACUGUCUCAGAAGUGGAGGCAACUGGGACUUGUCCUCCGCCACCUGGAUUGAGGUGAGUAACCGCGUCACCACGAGGACCUGCUAAGUAGUGGGAAUUGGACAUUCCAAAUUGGGAGAAAGGGGGAUAAAAACAAAAUAAAAAAAAGAGACUGCAAUCCAUCUAGUGAGGCAACUUUAAAAGACAGUGAUGUAUUUUGGAUCAAAGUCACCCAGUCAGUAAAGAAUUACAAAGUCAUGCCUAUCUUACUGCAAGUCUGCUCUGAUAUUGACACGGAGAUGUUGCAUUAAAAAUAUACUGUCUGAUAUAGGCUAAAAAGAAGUCUCCUAAUAACAAGUCACCAAAUGCUCUGUCAUUUUAUUGGGUAAUAAAAAAACACCAGCUUUUCCAAAAACUAGCCUUUUGACUGGGUAGGUACCGAACUAAAAUUAGCUAUAAUUCACACAGGGACCAACCAGUGUAUCCAGAUACCAUUUAAAAACAAACACGAACUCAAAUCAGUGACAAGCAAAAUACAUUGGUAUAAUGUAACAACAGCAUGUUGCCAAAUAGCGAAACAUAAUAGGCUGUGACUCAAACCCCAGUGAGCUGCCAGCAUUUUUGGACAGACAGAUGCGUCUAAACCGCUGCUAAUUGAGUGCUUGAAUCAUCUGCUUCUGUCUGAAUGUUUGUGUUCCUCGUCACAACUGGCUGAAUAUUUGCAUCUGUCUCUGCGAUUGGCUGCUCGGGUGUUCGCAACGCGUCUGUGAUGCCCCAGAAUUCUGUCUAGGACAUGUUAAAAAUAUUAUAAGUCAUGCCGGUCAAGCUGAAGGACUUGGGCCGGGCCAGGGUGGACAAUAACGGGGUGGACAUUCAGUGGAUAAAUUAGCCCUACAUGGGUGGGCAUGCUAUGCUUGACCACAUGAGCAACUUCACAAAAUAAAG